UCUGGUUUUGUCAACAGUUUCACACUUUUUCCUUAUUAAAUCAUCUAACUCAACACAUCUGCCUGUUCCUUGGAUUUUGAUUAGGAGAGUGUUUAGCUGUCCGUAUAGCUGAGUUUAUGUUUACUAGGACAAUACUUAGUGAGGACAGAACAGUGAAAAGUUGAACCAUCACAUCAAGCUGUGAAGGAAUCUCGGCAGCCCAUUUCUUAGCCACCAGUAACCAGUGAGUAGAAGAAAAACACCAAAGAGGCUACGCUCGCUUCUUCGGUAUCUUUUUACGGGAUUUGAAGACCCAUUCACCUGCCUGUAUUAAACGAUGUCAAGCUCAAACCCUAUCAACGCCGUAUCAGAGCCUGGAGCUUAGGUCAGAGUGUGCUGCCUCAGCUGCAUUUUCCAAGCAAAGUUCAAAUAAAUCUUCAGCUAGUGCCACUGCUGCUAAAGCUCGUGCCAAGGCGGAAGCUGCACGCACGCGAGCAGCCUAUGCAAAACGUCAAAUAGACAUGCAAGUGGAGAAAGCACGCAUAGAGGCUGCAUUGAAUGCACUAAAAGAAGAGUGUGAAGCUGAGGCUGCCUCAGCAGAGGCUCAAGUGUUUGAGGCUGCUGCAGAUUUAGACAACUGUGACCUUGGGAGUAAAGCCAGUCAUGCUCAAGCAACGAGGCAGUCAUUUCAGCAAACUGAUUCCCAGACUUGUCUGAGAACCUUUCCCUGGACCCCUGAGUGUGGCAGUGUGAAGUGCAGUGAAAGCAUGAGUGGCAGAAGAGGAGCAUGUGUGAGCGGAGGAAGUGUGGAUGUGCGAUUUCAGCUUAUCACACAUUUGAUUUCCAUGUGUGACAACUGCAAGUGUCCAGAGUGAGGACAGACUGAGGGACCCACUGCUGCACAUCAUCUGUGAGGCUUUGCACCCCUGAUGAUCCACCAGGACAAACUCAGCAGUGUGUGAGGAAGAGGAGGAGGAAGAGCCAGCAGCAGCUGACAGAUGGAGAGAAUAGACAGACUGUUCCCUGUUUGUGAAGGACUGCUAGGAAAGUUUAACAUAACUAAUUGUCUGUCCUGAAUCAGUCUUAUUAGGUAAUGUUCAAAUAAUGUUAUCAUUCCAGUGUUUUCAGUGUGGGAGAAAGUACUCAGGGCCUUCAAGUUACACACUAUGAAAGGCAGCAACAAGUUUAAUAUUCAGAAACCUAAAGUAUGUAUCAGCAGCAGAAUGGAGCUAAAAAUAAAUGUUUGUUUCAGUUCUAUGAAGCUUUGAGUAUUUUGGAUUAGUAGCACUGCUGUGUUUGUUGCAUCA
ensembl:lncRNA